rnacentral:rRNA from 1 species
CCGGUUGAUCCUGCCGGACAAGACCGCUAUCGGAGUUCGACUAAGCCAUGCAAGUUUUUCCCGCAAGGGAAAGCGAAAGGCUGAGUAACACGUAGCUAACCUACUCUCAAGAGGGGGAUAACUUCGGGAAACUGAAGAUAAUACCCCAUAGCUUUUGGGCACUGGAAAGUUCCAAAGGCAAAAGAGCAAUCGCCUGAGAAUGGGGCUGCGGCCUAUCAGCUUGUUGGUAAGGUAACGGCUUACCAAGGCUAAGACGGGUAGGGGCAGUGUGAGCUGGAGCCCCCAGAUGGGUACUGAGACAUGGACCCAAGCCCUACGGGGUGCAGCAGGCGCGAAAACUUUACACUGCGGGAAACCGCGAUAAGGGGACCCCGAGUGCCAGUACCUAGUGCUGGCUGUCCCGCUGUCCAAACAACAGUGGUUAGCAAGGGCCGGGCAAGACCGGUGCCAGCCGCCGCGGUAACACCGGCGGCCCGAGUGGUAGCCGUUAUUAUUGGGUUUAAAGGGUCCGUAGCCGGCUUAUUAAGUCUCUUGGGAAAUCUGGCGGCUUAAUCGUCAGGCGUCCAAGAGAUACUGAUAGGCUUGGGACCGGGAGAGGUGGGAGGUACUCCAGGGGUAGGGGUGAAAUCUCGUAAUCCUUGGGGGACCACCGAUGGCGAAGGCAUCCCACCAGAACGGGUCCGACGGUGAGGGACGAAAGCUGGGGGCACGAACCGGAUUAGAUACCCGGGUAGUCCCAGCUGUAAACGAUGCUCGCUAGGUGUCAGGUGCGGUGCGACCGCAUCUGGUGCCGUAGUGAAAACUUGAAGCGAGUCACCUGGGAAGUACGGUCGCAAGGCUGAAACUUAAAGGAAUUGGCGGGGGAGCACUACAACGGGUGGAGCCUGCGGUUCAAUUGGAUUCAACGCCGGG